rnacentral:rRNA from 2 species
UGCAGUCGAGCGAAAUGGAUUAAGAAGCUUUUGCUCUUAUUGAAGUUAAGCGGCGGACGGGUGAGUAACACGUGGGUAACCUGCCCAUAAGACUGGGAUAACUCCGGGAACCGGGGCUAAUACCGGAUAACAUUUUGAACCGCAUGGUUCGAAAUUGAAAGGCGGCUUCGGCUGUCACUUAUGGAUGGACCCGCGUCGCAUUAGCUAGUUGGUGAGGUAACGGCUCACCAAGGCAACGAUGCGUAGCCGACCUGAGAGGGUGAUCGGCCACACUGGGACUGAGACACGGCCCAGACUCCUACGGGAGGCAGCAGUAGGGAAUCUUCCGCAAUGGACGAAAGUCUGACGGAGCAACGCCGCGUGAGUGAUGAAGGCUUUCGGGUCGUAAAACUCUGUUGUUAGGGAAGAACAAGUGCUAGUUGAAUAAGCUGGCACCUUGACGGUACCUAACCAGAAAGCCACGGCUAACUACGUGCCAGCAGCCGCG